rnacentral:rRNA from 1 species
GACGAACGCUGGCGGCGUGCUUAACACAUGCAAGUCGAACGGGCCCGCCCCUGUUUUUGGGGGUGGGUUGAGUGGCGAACGGGUGAGUAUCCCGUGAGUAACCUGCCCCCUGCUCCUGGAUAACUGCUUGAAAGGGCGGCUAAUACGGGGUGUGCCGGCUGGUCCGCAUGGGCCUGGUCGGGAUAGUUUCAUCUUCGGGUGUUUCGGUGGGGGAUGGGCUCGCGGCCUAUCAGCUUGUUGGUGGGGUGAUGGCCCACCAAGGCGGUGACGGGUAGCCGGCCUGGGAGGGUGGGCGGCCACACUGGGACUGAGACACGGCCCAGGCUCCUGCGGGAGGCAGCAGUGGGGGGUAGUGCACAAUGGGCGGAAGCCUGAUGCAGCGACGUCGCGUGAGGGAUGGAGGCCUUCGGGUUGUGAACCUCUUUCUCCGGUGGUGAAGGCCCUGUCCGUUGCGGCGGGGUUGACGGUAGCCGGGUAUGAAGCGCCGGCUAACUACGUG